AGGGUUUGAUUAUGGCUCAGAAUGAACGCUGGCGGCAUGCCUAACACAUGCAAGUCGAACGAGAUCUUCGGAUCUGGUGGCGCACGGGUGAGUAACGCGUGGGAACCUACCUUUUAGUACGGGACAACGUUUGGAAACGAAUGCUAAUACCGUAUACGCCCUCCGGGGGAAAGGUCAGCCGCUAAAAGAGGGGCCCGCGUCUGAUUAGCUUGUUGGUAAGGUAAUGGCUUACCAAGGCUACGAUCAGUAGCUGGUCUGAGAGGAUGAUCAGCCACACUGGGACUGAGACACGGCCCAGACUCCUACGGGAGGCAGCAGUGGGGAAUAUUGGACAAUGGAGGCAACUCUGAUCCAGCAAUGCCGCGUGUGUGAUGAAGGCCCUAGGGUUGUAAAGCACUUUCAACGGUGAAGAUGAUGACGGUAGCCGUAGAAGAAGCCCCGGCUAACUUCGUGCCAGCCGCCGCGGUAAUUCA
rnacentral:rRNA from 1 species